GUCACGAGUCACGUGACCAAACCACGCCUCGGCACAGUGGCUCGAUACGUUUGCUUCAUGAGCUACAGCGCAUGUGUCGAAGCCUCGGGUAUCAGAGGACCAUCGCUAUCUCUGGCUGCUGUUGAUCUUGUUUUUGGAGUAAAACACGGUGGAAGCUGAAUUAGUGAGGAUGACUCCUGCUCCUGUCAUCUCUAAGCUCCUCACACAUCUUUACCUGCACAUGAGGAAAAUCACUCCUGUAGAAUGCAGAUGUUCAGAGGGAGAUGAUGCCACAUCUGGUCCAGCUGAUGGAAGGUCUUGAAGUUCUCUGACUGGCCUCGACUGAAGAUGGUCGUCUCACUGGAUUUAAGGUUCAGAUGCUCAGUAACAAACUCCACCAAUGAGCCAACAGGGAAGCUUUAGGUUUAUUAAAUGUUGCUAUGAAGGUUUCGCUGUUUUUCUUAGUGAAUGCAAUGUGCUCCAACUGAAACUUGAAUUAGAACUUAGAAGUAAAUCCUUCCAUCUGAAAGGAUUUAGUUGCAUUAAUAACCUCAUAACAUUCUAAUUUUUAUUCCAGUCUUGGUUGGAAAUAGAAUCUCUGUAUUGAUUCAGGUAAAAACUGAACUUCACAGCAUGUUGGAGCAAAACAACCAGAUGAAAACUGUGAUGGUGUUGGAUUGUCAGACUGUAAUGUUGCAGCUCAAAGCAGCUUUUCUGUCUCAGUUCAUUCUGACAUUCAGCUAUGAAUCAACACAGCAGAUGGUGAUCCAUGCUGUGGAAAUCUCACAUCUCCUGAUUUAAUGGAGCUGCUUUGCACUUUUUACACUGUUUAUUCACCAACACUUUAUUUAAUCAAAGUCCCAUCUAGUUUUUAUGAGGAAUGUGAUGUUUUAAUUUCUCUGUGAAUAACUGCAGUCUAAUGGAACAGCUGGAAUUGUAACAUCUGUCCUGAUAUUGAUCAUGAAGUAUUGAUCAGAAUACUUAUGGUCAGCAGUCAUCCCUGAAGUUUUACAUUAAAAUCUUUACUUGUGUUGUGAACUUUGGUAAGAAGCAGAAACUUUAGCGUUGCCAUGGAUACAUGAGUGUUAAAUUCUGUCCAUGUUUCCAUUUUGGGAAAUUCAGUCCAGUUCCAGAAUGUGGAGGAAUUUAGUCUCACAAUCACAGACAAUAAAUAUUAUGUGAAAGUCAGGUUAUUGUUGUUUAUCAGCACAAUACAAAAAGAUUAAUGUUAGAAAUAUUCCAGUUCAGACUCUAGAAUAUCAGGAUUUAUGUAAAUUUACCUCAAUAAUAUGAAUGUUCAGGUUAAGAUUGUGCAGUGAUAUUUAUUAUGUAAGUUUAGCUGAUUAAAGUUUAUGACUUUGCACUAAAAUAUUAUUUAAAUUGACAUCAUUAUUAUAAUAUUUAGGGUCAGACUCUACAGUAUUGAGAUUAAGAAAUCAAAUAUUCUAUAAAAUGUAAAUACACUGAACUCAUUUGGAGAUAUUUAAGUGAGACUCUACAAUAUUAUUUGACACAAAUCUAUCUAAAUCAAAAUUUUAAUCAUUUUUACUCCAAACAUUUACUGGACUGAUUUAAAUAUUAAAAUCACUCCUUUCUAAUCCUCUGCUGUAUGUUCAAACCUGAGGCCUUAAAUAGAAACACACAAGUAUCUGAUUGAAGGAACUUCUGCAGAGUCCUGGUUCCAGAACAUGAUGAUAGAAUUAUAGACAAACUUUAACAAAAGCUGCCUGAGAGUUUACAGGUUUUUAUGUUGGAUUUCUUCAGUAAUUUAAUGAGAGUUAUCAGCAAAAAUCAAGUGUUCAUUUGAUGAACUUCAUUUCCUAAAACAUCCAGAAUUGGAGCUCAUAUCUUUGGCAGCUGUAAAGUUUCUGCUCCUUCAAAGUUCACAACACAAUGAAUGAAUUCCUAAAACACUCUCAAUGCUGGAGAGCGUUUGUGAUGCUGAAGCAGUGAUCAGUUUUUCUGUUUCUUCUCUGGAGAUGCACAAUGAGGGACGUCUGCAGAGACUGAGAAAGAGUCUCACCACAUCCUGACAUGAGGAAAAAGACUUUAUUGAAGACUACAAUGAGAAAAACUAUCAGACAGCAGACGGCUGCAUUCAAGUCUGUAGCUGCUGAAUUCAUGGAUGAAUCAUCUGGCACUAGAGAGGAAGACCAUCAAACAUCCACAUCAGCUGAUGGAGGUCCAAGAGUCUCACCCAACAAACAACCUACAGAGUGAAGACCUCCAAUCUGAUUGGACGGCCUCCUAUUCAGCCACAUGUGUGAACAAAUGCCUCUAAGUUGAUUUGUUUUCUAAAAUAAAUCUAGUUUGAGUCCUAA